CUUGACAGGGUUACUCUGAGUGAUUUCCGCUAAGGAAAUCUUUUGGCACCUCUAAAAAUGGUGCAGAAUAAGGGGUGGGCAAGUCUGGUGUCAGCCGCCGCAGUA
rnacentral:rRNA from 1 species